UUUUUUUCUUUUUUUCAGAUAUAUUUUUAUUAUUUUUUAUUUGUGUGUGUGUAAGGAUGCCCCUAGAGGCCAGAAAAUGAUAUUGGAUCCCCUGGAACUGGAGUUACAGGCAGUUGUGAGCCACCAUGUAGGGCCUGGAAACCAAAUAUGGGUUUCCUGCAAGAGCAGCUGGUGCUCUUAACUACUGAGCAGUCCCCCAGCCUCCAGGUUUCUCUUUGUAAUUUCACAUGUCUAAUUCACAAGAUCCCUUCUCACAUUUAGAAGAGGACUCCUUCAGCAGACUCCUUUCCAAAGCUAACUUUGGGGGACAGGCGAAGGGAGGGAUCCUGAGAGUGUUUCACUGUCUGUGGCUGCUAUCACCGCCAGCAUUAUCUCUGUAUCUGUGAGCUGGGCUCUUUAUUUUCUCACCCUGCCUUUUUUUUUUCCUUCAGUUUCCUGGAAGUGGGUAGGGGUUGGAAGAGAAGACAAAUGGAAAUUUCCGUGCAUCUCUUCACUGUGCAGUGGUUGAGAUGGGGUUUGGGCUACAGAAGAUUGGGAGAGAGAAAUGGAGUCAGCCCUGAGGGAGAACUGCUGAGCUGAUGGUAUGGUCUAAUUACUCCUCUGCUUUGAGCUUGCCUGUAAUUGUGGUUUCUGGGAGCCAGCACGUCCUGGAAAUCUGCUAGGACAGCAGAGAUUUGGGGUUUCCGCCUGGGAUGGAGUUGAAUUUUCCACUUGGAACAGCUUGCCCAGCACCCAUUUUUGGUUGGGAGCAGGACGAAUCCCUAAAGUUCAGAAGGGACAAAGAUCAAUAUCGUCAUGGGACAUAGGCCUUCCCUUGGAACUGAGUAAGAGUUACAUAUUCUGAAAUUGUAGAUGUUUUUGAAAGAUUCAAAUCGGCAGCAGAUAAGCCAGUUUGAAUGAAAGGCAGAUGCUGAAAAGUUAGACCAAACUCUGUCCCUUACCUCGAGAAUGCAUUUACAUGCCAGUUCCUCCCUCACUAUCAUUUUUAUAGGGAUGUUCCUAAAUAAUAAUAGGUGGGGAAAUACUAUACUAAGUCAGCAACUUAAGUUCUCAUUUCUCAUGGUAAUGAGGUGUGGUAAGAGUUGGCAUAUUCUGAGCAUAUAUUAUGUGCCCUUUACCAAACACUUGAGUGAAUUCUGCCAUUUAACUUCCUAAUGAUGCUGUGUCAUAGUUAUUUCAACCUCAGAUGAAGUUGACAGGUUUAAUAUGUUGUCCGAGAUAAAAGGUGCACUUCUGGAUCUGCACCUGAGACAUGAAUUCAAGUACCAACUGCAGGUCUCAGCAGCCUAGGAAUCUCAGACAAGUACUUUAUCUUCUGUUGAUAUCUCAGAGUUGCUGUGAGUAUCAAGUACAAUACUUACUCCUCAGCAUACCUGUUACCCAGCACUUAGCAAAUGAGAGCAGAAUUCUUUAAAGUCUGUAGUGCUAGAUAUGGAACUUGAGACCUGUGCAUCUAGGCAAGCUCUCUACUACAGAGCCCCAUUCCCCCACCCCUCAGUUUGUUAAGAUAGGAUUUCACUAUGAAGUCUUGGCUGGCUUCAAACUCAAGAUCUUCUUGCCUCUACCUCCUGUAUGCUGGGAUCACAGGUGGAUGCACCGUAUGGUCAUAAUUUAAAUGUGAAUACAGAGAAAACAACCUUUCCUGAGUUUGCGAAAUAAGUUUGUUGAAAUAAGUUAAGAACAGAUCUGUGAUAAAGUAGAUACUGAGGGCUCAAGCCAGAGAACAAAACAUCGGUGAGACAUUUCCCCCUGUGGUGCCAGGAAAUGAACCCAGGGCCUCGUGCAUGCUAGGCAAGUGCAUUUUUUCUUAGUUACAUCCCUAGCUUUUGAAAGCAGUGUUUAUAGAGGUGUGUACUUGACACUAAACUGCUUGGGUUCAGCUACCAGCUCCGUGUUACUUACUGGGUGCUUGUAAUCAAGACAGCCUUUCAUAGUCCUGCUUCCUCAGCAUAAAAUAGUAGAAUUGCAUCCCCUCAGGGGACAUUAUGAGAAUUGAAUAGGAUAAAAAAGAAUGAGUUGAAAGUUAUGGAGUGCCAGGCCCUGGCCUGAGCAUUUUAAAGGUGUGUUUUAAAGUAACCCCGUCUUAGAGAUCCUGUGAGAUGGUGGUGCCAUCGUCAUCUCUACUUUAUGGACAAGGAAGCUGCAGCAAGAAGUUAAAUCAGCUCCUUGAGGUUGCAUAGUCAAUAAAGGUCUGGGGCGUUUAAAGCUGUGGAAGAAAGCCUGUGCUUAUAGGUAUGCUUUCUUUCAGUGAGUGCUUGAAAGCAGUCUAGCUCCUGCUUCAGCAUUUCUGUGUGUUUGACAAGCAUACGCUCGGCACUGUGGGUCGGUCAGUACAGGGUAUGGCAGGCAGGAUUUGGGCUCUUUAAUUGUUGCUUAUAUAGUUAGGUGGAGAUAUGUUCAAUAUUGUUGAAAUAAAUGCAGUAUAAACUCAAAACUCAGUAAAAAUUAAUUUUGUUUCUGAAAAGAUCACUGGGGAGGUGGGGCUAGUUAGGAUAGCUUAUUGGAGAUGGUUGUAUUUGAAUCCAGCCUUAGAAAACUGUGCUGAGAAGCAACAAUAAACAAUCUGGAGGCCUGGAAUUGGAAAAAGUUUGAAUUUCCAAGUUAGUCACUCAUCAUUCAACACAUUUUCAUUGAGUGUAUAUUUAGACACCACAUAUUGAGGCUUUAAUCAUCCACAAACCACAUUUCUGAUGGUAGUUCUGUAAGACAUUAUUACCCAUUGAUGUCGUAGCCAUCUUUUGUCUAAGUGCACUAUGAUGUUCAAUCAGCAAUUCAAUGAGCUGACACCCUUCUUAGGAUGUGUCCCUUUAGACAGCCCUCAGUGGAGACUGAGGUCUGAGGGGAUGGCUCAGCUGCCUCUGCCUCUCCCGUCCAUCCAGGUCUGUCUUCUAGAUGUUACUUUUGUGGACUAGUGUCUUCCAAGCUGAGGUACUGUUAUUUUCAUACUCUGGGUGAGCCCUUGCUGUC
rnacentral:lncRNA from 1 species